rnacentral:rRNA from 1 species
CAGCCGCCGCGGGAAUACGGAGGGAGCUAGCGUUGUUCGGAAUUACUGGGCGUAAAGCGCGCGUAGGCGGUUACUCAGGUCAGAGGUGAAAGCCCGGGGCUCAACCCCGGAACUGCCUUUGAAACUAGGUGACUAGAAUCUUGGAGAGGUCAGUGGAAUCCCGAGUGUAGAGGUGAAAUUCGUAGAUAUUCGGAAGAACACCAGUGGCGAAGGCGACUGACUGGACAAGUAUUGACGCUGAGGUGCGAAAGCGUGGGGAGCAGACAGGAUUAGAUACCCCCGUAGUCCCUGUCUCUUAUAC